ensembl:snoRNA LOC120101238 small nucleolar RNA SNORA15
GCAUGGCUGAAUACUGUGUUCUUUAGUCCCUAAUUUACACAGCCAGACACCAUGCAAUAGUAAAGGCUUCCUUUAAGAUGGUCGAUGUGCUAUAUUUUAUGGUAUAUCAUUAUGAAAAGUGAGUUUAAGU